rnacentral:rRNA from 1 species
UUCGUAGGCGGUGUGGCAAGUCGGGAGUGAAAUCUCUGGGCUUAACUCAGAGACUGCUUCCGAAACUGCUGUGCUUGAGUGUGGGAGAGGCGCGUGGAAUUGCAGGUGUAGCGGUGAAAUGCGUAGAUAUCUGCAGGGACACCCGUGGCGAAAGCGGCGCGCUGGACCACUACUGACGCUGAGGAACGAAAGCUAGGGGAGCAAACAGGAUUAGAUACCCUGGUAGUCCUAGCCCUAAACGAUCAGGACUUGGGGUGCCGCACGUUCGUGCGUCGUCCCGGAGCUAACGCGUUAAGUCCUGCACCUGGGGAGUACGGUCGCAAGACUGAA